GACCUGAUGGCACAGCUGGUUAAUGUGUCUGCUCAAGUUCUGUAGAUAUCUCCGCAGAAGACCCCGGUUCGAUUCCGGGUUAGGUUA